UAACUUUUAUAUCACGAUCAAUUAAAUAGAAUUACGAACAUUGGUUCGGUUUUAUAAUCUUCCUUUCUAUAGUGAUUAUUCAACCAAUAUAAUUGGAACCGAUAAAUUUCCUGUAUGAAUGGAUAUCGAAAGGAUGAUUACUUUUGUUUGGAUGCCCAUGGAAGGAAGUCUUAUCUGUAACAAUGUAAUUUGUGGUUACUAUAUUAUACACGACAGUGUUCCUGUCAAAAGGAAAAGCCGUCAAGUUUUUGAACAGUCGUAUUACACUGGAAAUUUGGAAUACUAUUUUGUUCAAGGUUUACAAGUUUGAAAUAGAAAGUUUACGGCGCUGAUCAAUAAUUAUAACUCUGGUCCAUCUUGUUUUUACCAAAGUUCUGCAGUACCACAUUUGCCAAAUCAGAGCCUUUCAUCAGAUAUGGAAUGAACGUAUUCAAUGGGGAUUUAAUCAGUUGCUGAAGAUGAAGACGGUUGGCGGCAAUAAUUUGAAUCUUAUUGGGCAUAGUAGGUCAGUAGCAGAACUAUUUUCCCGAAUCAACAUAAAAAACAAUAAUGUCCUAUAGAGUUGUUCCAUCAAAGGUUAUGGUUGAUAUUGCAUGGUGUGCGACGUGAGUUAGUUGCACACCCGAGCCAAGGCUCAAAAGAAGGAAAAUAAAUUACUAAAUGAAAACAAGGUAAAUCAGGAGGUUUAUGGUGCGAUGGUGCAAAAAUAUAAAAGGUCUAUUGUAAAAGAAUUUAUAUAAUAAAAAUUACUGUGAUAUUCAAUAAAAAAAAUUAUGUGAUAAUCAAAAAAAGUCUUAUGGUAUUUAAUUAUGUUAAUAGAGAUUUUUUAAACCAGUCGAACAAAUAGUAUUUUUUAAAAAUAUAUAUAAUAAUUUAAAUGGAUUGUUUUCUAAAAUCAAUUCUGUUGGACCUUUUGGUGGCUUUUUAUUAAUAAAAAGUUUCAUGACAUUACAUGAGAUGGGACACACAUAAAAUACUUUCUUUAGUAUUUAGUGAUGCAGCAAAUAAUAUAUUUUUGAUACCAGUCUUCCAAUCAGUCACGGAUGAUAAAUUGACAUGGGAUGGGAAUCAAGAUGGUAGGUACUCGGUUAGGGAGGGGUACCGUAUGCUCAUGAACUUUUAUGGAAGUAGGAGGAAGGGACGGCACAAGAAUUGGCGUCAACCGUGGACCGUGAAGGCUCCUCCAAAGGCACGCCAUGUGCUGUGGAGGGUGUGCCGUGAUUGUAUUCCUACACUUGUUAGAUUGUUACAAUGCCAUGUUGAUUGUACACCAUAUUGUCUGUUAAGCAAUGAGCAUAUGGAAGAUGAUUUACCAUGCCUUUUUUACAUGUUCACAUGUUUUUCUUAGUUGGGCAGCAGCUGGUCUUGCUCAUAUAAUUACCAACAGACUAUUAAAUUACCAUAAUGCAGCAGACUAUUAUCUAAUAUAUGCAGCCUUGAAGAUUCAAACACAGCUGGCCGAGUUGCAGCUCUCAUAUGGAGCAUUUGGCAGAACAGAAAUGACGCGGUUUGGAAUAAUUUGAAGUUGAUGGAAUAAUGUGAAGUUGAUGCGGGAGCAAGUUAGCUUCAAUGCGUUUCAGACGUGGCAAACAUGGUUUGAUGCUAAUAGACUGCAAUUCCACAACCAGCAGAACACGCAACAAACUAUUGAUGCAAACAUGGGUGAAACCUCAAGACGGAUGGAUCAAAUGUAAGUUGAUGCGGGAUAUUUUGAAAGCCGAGGAAUUACUACAGUCAUUUGCUGCAUUUGGAACAGCAACGAAGAAUUUCAACGUGCACAGACCAGCCAAUUUAACUCACGGUUUUCGACAGUGAAAGGAGAAGGUAUGGCAAUGCUGGAGGCGAUACAUAUUCAUCAUGGGUGGAACUUUGUUAUCUUUGAAGGUGAUUGUCAAGUUUUAUUUAAUGCCAUUGCUUUUAAUUACACGGAAGAAACAGAGUUUGGUUCUCUUAUUACUAGUAUUAAGAAUAAUUUACUCUUAUUGUCCAA